rnacentral:rRNA from 1 species
AUGAGCCCUCUGUCUGAGCUGGUGUGGUCUUCGGAUGAUGGUCUCAGCAUUAAAAUCGCAGCGUCCAGCCUAAGCACAAGAAAAGCCCCUCUUCGCUGGAAUGCGGAUACUUUGAACAUAGUGAUAUCUUUGCCUCAGCAGAGCGGCGGCGGCGGCAAGAGUGGUGAUAACGUAGAUGCCACCCUAAGGGAUGCACGAGAAAUGCCGUCGCAACCUCUAACUCGAAGUGACAAUUCAGUGAGAGUAUCCGCGGCUAGUCCAAAUAGAACACGAAACCUUGAUGCACAACAAUCGACUUCUAUAAGAUCAUAG